GCCCAGGUGGUGAAAUUGGUAGACGCAGGGGACUCAAACUCCCCCGCCGCAAGGCGUGCCGGUUCGAUUCCGGCCCUGGGCACCA
rnacentral:tRNA from 1 species